GGGAGCUUGGUGAGAAAGUUCAAACUGCAGAAGAUUAUCCUUUCACAAAUAAAUUCUUUUAACAGGCCCCUGUUGAAAAUGUUUUGAGCUGUUUCAAACACAUCUUCUAAAGAAAGCGAUAUGUCCAUAUACUUGAGAAGAGGCGAUUGACCUAUUUUGAAUGAGAAGAUGAAAGAGAAAACAAGUCCCUCUUAUAUU